AUGCAGGUGAAGGCCCUGGGUGUCAGGGACCCUCCUCACAAUGUGAAGGUCCAGUGCAGAGGAGGCUGGGCUUUGGGCCUCCCGUGCAGCUGCAGGUGGGCCUGGGUCAGGGGUGGAGGGGCUGACAGAGGGUUUGUGUUCCAGUCUGUGUCACAGUGUAUUCUAUUCGGCGGAGGGACCCAUCUGACCGUCCUCGGUCAGCCCAAGUCGGCCCCCUCGGUCACACUCUUCCCACCCUCCAGUGAGGAGCUCAGUGCCAACAAGGCCACCCUGGUGUGCCUCAUCAAUGACUUCUACCCCAGUGGCUUGACGGUGGCCUGGAAGGCAGACGGCACCCCUGUCACCCAGGGUGUGGAGACCACCAAGCCCUCCAAACAGAGCAACAACAAGUACGCGGCCAGCAGCUACCUGAGCCUGUCACCUGACCAGUGGAAAUCCAGAAGCAGCUACACCUGCCAGGUCACGCAUGAGGGGAGCACCGUGGAGAAGAGAGUGGUCCCUGCAGAGUGCUCUUAGGUGCCUGAGACCCACACCCACCCAAGGGGAUGUGCAGCCAUUGAGCCUCCAGGGAGGAUCCCCCUUGUACCAAGACCAUCCCAGCCCUUCUCCCAGCACCCAAUCAUUGCUCAAUAAAACGUCUCUUACUCAAUCAGA